rnacentral:rRNA from 1 species
AACCCCGGGAGGGGAGUGAAAUAGAACCUGAAACUUAGUGCCUACAAGGUGUCGGAGCAGCUUCGGCUGUGACGGCGUGCUUUUUGUAGAACGAUCCAGCGAGUUAAUGUUGUCGGCGAGGCUAAGUCAAAUGAUGGAGCCACAGUGAAAGCGAGCCUUAACAGGGCGAACAGUCGGCAGUAUUAGACCCGAAACCGGGUGACCUAACCAUGUGCAGGUUGAAGCUGCGGUAACACGCAGUGGAGGACCGAACCAGGGCACGCAGUAAAGUGCUUGGAUGACAUGUGGUUAGCGGUGAAAUGCCAAUCGAACUCGGAGAUAGCUGGUUCUCCUCGAAAUAGCUUUAGGGCUAGCGUUGUGUUAGUAAUCAUCAGGGGUAGAGCUCUGAAAAGGUUUGGGGCCGGCAACGGUACCCACCCUUAUCAAACUACGAAUACUGGUGGUGUAACCACAGCAGUCAGAACGGCGGGGCUAAGCUCGUCGCUCAAAAGGGAAACAGCCCAGAUCAUCGUCUAAGGUCCCUAAUUAACACUAAGUGGGAAACAAAGUGAAAUUUCUUAAACAGCUAGGAUGUUGGCUUAGAAGCAGCCAUUCAUUUAAAGAGUGCGUAACAGCUCACUAGUCAAGAGAUUUUGCGUGGAAAAUGUAACGGGGCUAAAGUGUUAAACCGAAGACAUGGACUUCAUAUUUUAUGGAGUGGUAGAGGAGCGUUGAUAUCGCAGUGAAGUCAGAUUGUAAAGUCUGGUGGAGCGUUAUCAAGUGAGAAUGCUGGAAUCAGUAACCUUAAGACAGGUGAGAAUCCUGUCGGUCGUAAGAGCAAGGUUUCCAGGGCUACAGUAAUUGUCCCUGGGUUAGUCGGUCCUAAGCCGAGGCGUAUCAGCGUAGGCGAUGGACAACAGGUUAAUAUUCCUGUACAGGUAGUAGUUGUGAACAGUUCACGGUGAAUGACCGGAGCGGAUUAAUGGUUUAUCCGUCCAAGUCUCUAGGGAACUAGAGAUGAGUGAAAGGUAAUCUUCGGAUUAUUAAUUCCGGGUGAAGCACUGGCUAGAAAAGCUGGUUAACUUAUGCUGCUGCCUACCGUACCGCAAACCAACACCGGUGCUCGGGUCGAGUAGACCAAGACCUACGUGAGAACCUUCGCUAAGGAACUCGGCAAAAAAGCGUCCGUAACUUCGGAAUAAGGACUGCCCUCUCAUUAAGAUGAGGAUUUGCUAGAAACUCAGCAGAAGAUUCAGAGUUAUGUUACUUAUUUACUAAUAAUUUAUUUUACUUCGAGACCAUAUGCUCGGCCGAACGGCCAUGAGUGUGUCGAGAAGGAAAUAAAUUUUAGUUAUUUACCUUAAUACUGAAUUUUUUCGUUGAGACAGAACACAAAUCAGGAUUUGUUUUAGCAAAUUCGUGUCUUUUCUAGUAGUCUAAUCGUCAUUUUGAUGAGAGGGCCGCAGCUAAAGAGCCCACGGAACUGUUUAACAAAAACAUAGGUCUCUGCUAACGCGAAAGCGGAUGUAUAGGGGCUGACUCCUGCCCGGUGUCGGAAGGUUAAGGGGAGAGCUUUACGGUUCGAACUGAAGCCCCGAUGAACGGCGGCGAUAACUAUGAUCGUCCUAAGGUAGCGAAAUUCCUUGUCGGGUAAGUUCAGACCCGCACGAAUGGAGUAAUCAUGUGGGCACUGUCUCGGCGAAGGCCACGGUGAACGUGCAUUGGCGGUAAAGAUGCCGUCUGAUCAUGCCAGGACGAGAAGACCCCAUGGAGCUUUACUACAACUUUGCAUUGAUUAUUGGGACAUUUUGUGUAGAAUAGGUGGAAGACUUUGAAGCAGAUACGCUAGUAUUUGUGGAGUCGAAAUGUGAAAUACCACCCUGAAUGUUUUAGUAAUCUCACUUUUGACCUGAUCGGCCAAAAGGACCGUGCAUGGCGGGUAGUUUAACUGGGGCGGUUGCCUCCUAAAGAGUAGCGGAGGCGUUCAAAGGUUGGCUAACUACGGAUGGAAAUCGUAGUGAUAGUGUAUGCGCAAAAGCCAGCUUGACUGUGAGGGCCACAACCCAAUCAGACACGAAAGUGGGAGCAAAUGACCCGCUGUACAGAACUUCGGUUCAAUUUACGUGGGAAAGACAGCGCACACGGAUAAAAGUUACCCUGGGGAUAACAGGCUGAUCGCGCCCAAUAGUUCACAUAGACGGCGCGGUUUGGCACCUCGAUGUCGGCUCAUCACAUCCUGGAGGGGGAGCACCUUCCAAGGGUCCGGCUGUUCGCCGGUUAAAGUGGUACGCGAGCUGGGUUCAGAACGUCGUGAGACAGUUCGGUUUAUAUCCGGCAUGAUCGUUAGGAAUUUUGAGGAGAUCUACCCUUAGUACGAGAGGACCGGGGCGGACGAAUCUCUAGUGUAUCGGUUGUGACCACCUGUUGCAUUGCCGAGUAGCUAUGUUCGGAAGAGAUAAGCGCUGAAAGCAUAUUAAGCGCGAAGCCCACUCCAAGAUUAGAAUUCCCUAUGAGCUCCCAGAGAGAAGAUCUGGUUGAUAGGUGCAAGAUGGAAGUAUCGUAAGAUAUGGAGUCGAAGCAUACUAAUAGAGCCAUCGCCUU